rnacentral:rRNA from 1 species
GACGAACGCUGGCGGCGUGCUUAACACAUGCAAGUCGAACGGAAAGGCCCUUCGGGGUACUCGAGUGGCGAACGGGUGAGUAACACGUGGGUGAUCUGCCCUGCACUUUGGGAUAAGCCUGGGAAACUGGGUCUAAUACCGAAUAGGACCACGCGCUUCAUGGUGUGUGGUGGAAAGCUUUUGCGGUGUGGGAUGGGCCCGCGGCCUAUCAGCUUGUUGGUGGGGCAAUGGCCUACCAAGGCGACGACGGGGAGCCGGCCUGAGAGGGUGACCGGCCACACUGGGACUGAGAUACGGCCCAGACUCCUACGGGAGGCAGCAGUGGGGAAUAUUGCACAAUGGGCGCAAGCCUGAUGCAGCGACGCCGCGUGAGGGAUGACGGCCUUCGGGUUGUAAACCUCUUUCAAUAGGGACGAAGCGCAAGUGACGGUACCUAUAGAAGAAGCACCGGCCAACUACGUG